rnacentral:misc_RNA from 1 species
CGCUUAUUGAUAUGCUUAAACUCAGCGGGUAGUCCCGCCUGACCUGGGGUCACAAUUGGAGCGCACACAAUGUGUGUUGCCCAAGGGUCCUCGAGCUCACUAAGGUGACCCGGAUUCGUGCGACAAGACCAGGUCUUUUUACAACCACCGUUGUCGCAACGUCCGUCGCCAGAGACUCGCUUUUGCGCCAACCGCACGUCAAGGCACGGGAGGCCAGUUUCCGCCCCCAAACCGGAGCUCCUCUUGGAGUGGUUGGGGGCAACACGAUGCGUGACACCCAGGCAGACGUGCCCUCAGCCUAAUGGCUUCGGGCGCAACUUGCGUUCAAAGACUCGAUGGUUCACGGGAUUCUGCAAUUCACACCAAGUAUCGCAUUUCGCUGCGUUCUUCAUCGAUGCCG